rnacentral:rRNA from 1 species
UACGUAGGAUGCAAGCGUUGUCCGGAAUUAUUGGGCGUAAAGAGCGCGCAGGCGGUUUGCCAAGUCAGAUGUGAAAGAGGCCGGCUUAACCGGCAAGGGUCAUUUGAAACUGACAGACUAGAGUGCAGCAGAGGAUAGCGGAAUUCCCGGUGUAGUGGUGAAAUGCGUAGAUAUCGGGAGGAACACCAGUGGCUAAGGCGGCUAUCUGGGCUGCAACUGACGCUGAGGCGCGAAGGCUAGGGUAGCAAACAGG